rnacentral:rRNA from 1 species
AUUGAACGCUGGCGGCAUGCCUUACACAUGCAAGUCGAACGGCAGCACGGGGGCAACCCUGGUGGCGAGUGGCGAACGGGUGAGUAAUACAUCGGAACGUGCCCCGUAGCGGGGGACAACCAGUCGAAAGACUGGCUAAUACCGCAUACGCUCCACGGAGGAAAGCAGGGGAUCGCAAGACCUUGCACUAUGGGAGCGGCCGAUGCCCGAUUAGCUAGUUGGUGAGGUAAAGGCUCACCAAGGCAACGAUCGGUAGCUGGUCUGAGAGGACGACCAGCCACACUGGGACUGAGACACGGCCCAGACUCCUACGGGAGGCAGCAGUGGGGAAUAUUGGACAAUGGGCGCAAGCCUGAUCCAGCGAUGCCGCGUGUGUGAAGAAGGUCUGCGGGUUGUAAAGCACUUUCAGUAGGGAAGAAAGCCGAGUGCUAAUAUCACUCGGUCUUGACGUUACUUAC